UACAGAGGGGGCAAGCGUUGUUCGGAAUUACUGGGCGUAAAGGGCGCGUAGGCGGCCUGCUAAGUCGAACGUGAAAUCCCUGGGCUCAACCCAGGAACUGCGUCCGAUACUGGUUGGCUUGAAUCCGGGAGAGGGAUGUGGAAUUCCAGGUGUAGCGGUGAAAUGCGUAGAUAUCUGGAGGAACACCGGUGGCGAAGGCGGCUUCCUGGACCGACACUGACGCUGAGGCGCGAAAGCUAGGGGAGCAAACGGG
rnacentral:rRNA from 1 species